ACCAAAGCUAGCUCAACAUACUAAACAAAUACAAAAAUACACCAAAAUAAAAUAAAACAUUCACCUAACAUUAAAGUAUAGGAGAUAGAAAUUUUUAUCCUGACGCUAUAGAGACAGUACCGUAAGGGAAAGAUGAAAGAAUAAAAUAAAAGUAAAAAAAAGCAAAGAUUACCCCUUCUACCUUUUGCAUAAUGGUUUAACCAGAAAAAAUCUAACAAAGAGAACUUUAGCUAGAUACCCCGAAACCAGACGAGCUACCUAUGAGCAGUUUAAAAGAACCAACUCAUCUAUGUGGCAAAAUAGUGAGAAGACUUGUAGGUAGGGGUGAAAAGCCUAACGAGCCUGGUGAUAGCUGGUUGUCCGAGAAAGAAUUUUAGUUCAACCUUAAAAAUACCCCAAAAACCCUAAAUUCCAAUGUAUUUUUAAGAGAUAAUCUAAAAAGGUACAGCUUUUUAGAAACGGAUACAACCUUGACUAGAGAGUAAAAUCUUAAUACUACCAUAGUAGGCCUAAAAGCAGCCAUCAAUUGAGAAAGCGUUAAAGCUCAACAAAUCCACCAACAUAAUCCCAAAAACUAAUAACAAACUCCUAGCCCAAUACCGGACUAAUCUAUUGAAACAUAGAAGCAAUAAUGUUAAUAUGAGUAACAAGAAACCUUUCUCCUCGCACACGCUUACAUCAGUAACUAAUAAUAUACUGAUAAUUAACAAUCAAUAAACCAAAACAACACUAAAAACGUUUAUUAAUCAUAUUGUUAACCCAACACAGGAGUGCACCAAGGAAAGAUUAAAAGAAGUAAAAGGAACUCGGCAAACACAAACCCCGCCUGUUUACCAAAAACAUCACCUCUAGCAUUACUAGUAUUAGAGGCAAUGCCUGCCCAGUGACACCAGCUCUUACUUCCAAUCAGUGAAAUUGACCUUCCCGUGAAGAGGCGGGAAUAUAAAAAUAAGACGAGAAGACCCUAUGGAGCUUUAAUUAACUAUUCCAAAAGUUAAACAAUUCAACCACAAAGGGAUAAAACAUAACUUAACAUGGACUAGCAAUUUCGGUUGGGGUGACCUCGGAGUACAAAAAACCCUCCGAGUGAUUUCAAUCUAGACAAACCAGUCAAAAUAACCAUAACAUCACUUAUUGAUCCAAAAUUUUGAUCAACGGAACAAGUUACCCUAGGGAUAACAGCGCAAUCCUAUUCUAGAGUUCCUAUCGACAAUAGGGUUUACGACCUCGAUGUUGGAUCAGGACAUCCAAAUGGUGCAACCGCUAUUAAAGGUUCGUUUGUUCAACGAUUAAAGUCCUACGUGAUCUGAGUUCAGACCGGAGCAAUCCAGGUCGGUUUCUAUCUAUUAUAAAUUUCUCCCAGUACGAAAGGACAAGAGAAAUGGGACCUACCUCACAAACGCGUCCCAGAGAUAAUUAAUGAUAUAAUCUUAACUUAAUUAACUCAUAAUAAAUCCAACCCUAGAACAGGGCAC
rnacentral:rRNA from 1 species